UACGGAGGGUGCAAGCGUUAUCCGGAUUCACUGGGUUUAAAGGGUGCGUAGGCGGGCAGGUAAGUCAGUGGUGAAAUCUCCGAGCUUAACUCGGAAACUGCCGUUGAUACUAUUGUCUUGAAUAUUGUGGAGGUAAGCGGAAUAUGUCAUGUAGCGGUGAAAUGCAUAGAUAUGUCACAGAACACCAAUUGCGAAGGCAGCUUCUAUGGUUUAUUGACACUGAGGCACGAAAGCGUGGGGAUCAAACAGG
rnacentral:rRNA from 1 species